CUAGAGUUUUAUGGAGGAAGAUAGUACUUUUAGGUGGAGAGUUGAAAUUCUGUGAUACUCUAGGGACUGAUAAAGGCGAAGGCAAUCUUCCAUGAAAACUGACGUCGGAGGACGAAGGCGAAAAAAACGAACAGGAUUAGGGACCCUAGUAGUCUUCGCAGAGAAUAAUGAAUGCCAUAGGUUAGAAUAGUCUAUAAACGAAAUUGGAAGCAUUUCACCUCAAGAGUAAAGUGGCAACACCGGAACUGAAAUCACUAGACCGUUUCUAAUUCCAGCAGUGAAGUAUGUUGUUUAAUUCGAUGGUCCACGCAAAACCUUACCACAAACAGGUGUUGCACGGCUGUUUUCAGUUAAUGUUGUGAAACUGUGGUUUCUCCAUGUAAUUAACGGAAUCCCUUCC
rnacentral:rRNA from 1 species